CUUGGGGGAAGCCGAGACCCAGUAAAUAGAUUUUACCUGUAUCCCCUUCAUAAAACCGGCGCAUGGGAAGCGGUGGCAAAGAUGGAAAGGGCAACAAAGAUAAUAAUUUACCCUCUGGUCCUUAUGCCGGGUGCGCGGACAGCGGCGACGCUCCCAAGAAGAAAAGUUUUUUCAAGGGAUUCUGGAAGCGAUCACGUCACUACUCUCUGGAAAACCAAUAGCCCAGGGGUACGAGGAUGAUAAGCCACCAUCAUCACCAGUGGUAUAGGCAGAUGCGACAGCAACAAAGGCAGCGGGGCAUUGCAGCUACUACGACCCUCGCAAAUAAAUCUUGUUGCUGUAUCGUCUAGUAACCCCGAUUUACAUGCGUAUAUCAACCGCGACCAUCUUCUCUUCAACCCGAUGUCCAUUUGCACUCACGAUAGUGCAUCUCCGCGUUCCUCUCGUAAACGGAAUUCGCACGCGUUUCACUCCUCUUCCCUCUCCCCCGUCAAAUUUGAUGAUUUUACAUUAGCAUGAACGAUCCCAGUUAACGCUAAUUAUUCAUGAAAAGUUCGAUUUGUAUUCUCAAUGUGCCGAAUAUUCCGGAACAGUAAAAGAAUAUUCAAAUAUUAAUGAACUGUUCAGAAUAUUAUAUGAACACUUUUUGUAUAUACAAGGUGUCUCAAAAAUAAGGUAGGAGCCGCAUUGGGGGCGUAGAAUGCGUCAAAGGGAACAAAAAAGUUUGAUACCAUUUUGAGAUAUUCGCUGUAGUUUUUUAAUUAAAAAAGGAAACGUAUAAGCCAAUGUGCGGUGAAGCCACAUCGCGCGAAUUCGUAGCACGGCCCAUCGCGCCGCUGUCGAGUGAGGCUGCUUUUGAGGUUUCCUUUUUUAAUUCAAUGUAUCAUUCAUGGUAUCAAACAAUUCAUGGUUGAUACCACCAAACUUUUUUGUUGCCCUUGACCUAUUCUACGCCUCCAAUGUGACUCCUACCUUAUUUCUGAGACAUCCAGUAUAUCAAGAAAAUCACUCAUUCGCACUCAAUCAGAAAUAAUAAUGGAAUCGAUAUCGAUUCGACGUCGAAAGCAUUAAAUCGACGUCGAUUCGAUAUCGAUUUCAUCAUUUCUGACUGAGCAAGCAAUAUGCAGAGAGCUGCGACGGAGAUGCAUUAACUCGUAAAUAUGAAUGACAUGGAAAAAAUAUAUAAAGCGCACUAUUUCACCUAUGAAGUGGAGACGACAAAUAACUAUGUUCUUUGUGAUCGAAAACGAUACGUGAUUCGAUCCCGCUCGUGCUCUACAUAUAAUUUUUUUCGUAUUUAAGGAAUGUUUUUCAAAUAUACACGGAUUAAGCAUACGCUUCUGUUACCACCUUCUGUAUAAAUACACAUUUUCAUUGGGGCUA